rnacentral:rRNA from 1 species
UACGGGGGGGGCAAGCGUUGUUCGGAAUUACUGGGCGUAAAGGGCGCGUAGGCGGCUCGCUAAGUCGGGUGUGAAAACUCUGGGCUCAACCCAGAGCCUGCAUUCGAAACUGACGAGCUAGAGUUCUGGAGGGGAAAGCGGAAUUCCUGGUGUAGCGGUGAAAUGCGUAGAUAUCAGGAGGAACACCGGUGGCGAAGGCGGCUUUCUGGACAGAAACUGACGCUGAGGCGCGAAAGCUAGGGGAGCAAACAGG